UACGUAGGGUGCAAGCGUUGUCCGGAAUUAUUGGGCGUAAAGAGCUCGUAGGCGGUUUGUCGCGUCUGCUGUGAAAUCCCAGGGCUUAACCCUGGGCCUGCAGUGGGUACGGGCAAACUAGAGUGCGGUAGGGGAGAUCGGAAUUCCUGGUGUAGCGGUGAAAUGCGCAGAUAUCAGGAGGAACACCGAUGGCGAAGGCAGAUCUCUGGGCCGUAACUGACGCUGAGGAGCGAAAGCAUGGGGAGCGAACAGG
rnacentral:rRNA from 1 species